rnacentral:rRNA from 1 species
GACAGAGGUGCCAAGCGUUAGGCGGAAUCACUGGGCUUAAAGCGUGUGUAGGCGGGCGGGCAAGUACCUUGUGAAAUCCCACGGCUCAACCGUGGAACGGCUGGGUAUACUGCCUGUCUUGAGCCAGCUAGGGGCGACCGGAACAGACGGUGGAGCGGUGAAAUGCGUAGAUAUCGUCUGGAACGCCAAAGGGGAAAACAGGUCGCUGGGGCUGAGCUGACGCUGAGACACGAAAGCCAGGGGAGCGAACGGG